rnacentral:tRNA from 1 species
GACAUUAUACUUUAAUUAAAAGGAUUGAUUUGCAGUCAAAAAAUGAAAUAUAUAAUUUCUAGUGCCA